rnacentral:rRNA from 1 species
AUUGAACGCUGGCGGCAGGCCUAACACAUGCAAGUCGAGCGGAUGAAGGGAGCUUGCUCCUGGAUUCAGCGGCGGACGGGUGAGUAAUGCCUAGGAAUCUGCCUGGUAGUGGGGGAUAACGUCCGGAAACGGGCGCUAAUACCGCAUACGUCCUGAGGGAGAAAGUGGGGGAUCUUCGGACCUCACGCUAUCAGAUGAGCCUAAGUCGGAUUAGCUAGUUGGUGGGGUAAAGGCCUACCAAGGCGACGAUCCGUAACUGGUCUGAGAGGAUGAUCAGUCACACUGGAACUGAGACACGGUCCAGACUCCUACGGGAGGCAGCAGUGGGGAAUAUUGGACAAUGGGCGAAAGCCUGAUCCAGCCAUGCCGCGUGUGUGGAGAAGGUCUUCGGAUUGUAAAGCACUUUAAGUUGGGAGGAAGGGCAGUAAGUUAAUACCUUGCUGUUUUGACGUUACCAACAGAAUAAGCACCGGCUAACUUCGUG